CGUACACUCCUACGGGAGGCAGCAGUGGGGAAUAUUGCACAAUGGGCGCAAGCCUGAUGCAGCCAUGCCGCGUGUAUGAAGAAGGCCUUCGGGUUGUAAAGUACUUUCAGCGGGGAGGAAGGCGAUAAGGUUAAUAACCUUGUUGAUUGACGUUACCCGCAGAAGAAGCACCGGCUAACUCCGUGCCAGCAGCCGCGGUAAUACGGAGGGUGCAAGCGUUAAUCGGAAUUACUGGGCGUAAAGCGCACGCAGGCGGUCUGUCAAGUCGGAUGUGAAAUCCCCGGGCUCAACCUGGGAACUGCAUUCGAAACUGGCAGGCUAGAGUCUUGUAGAGGGGGGUAGAAUUCCAGGUGUAGCGGUGAAAUGCGUAGAGAUCUGGAGGAAUACCGGUGGCGAAGGCGGCCCCCUGGACAAAGACUGACGCUCAGGUGCGAAAGCGUGGGGAGCAAACAGGAUUAGAAACCCCUGUAGUCC
rnacentral:rRNA from 1 species